CAGAGAAACAAUUGCAAACACAAAGAAAUAAAAUGAGUAAUGGGAUAGAGUUUCAUGGCGAUUUCGCUGGGAUGACUAGACAGCUCUCUGCAGGAGGUGGCUUUAAGCUGGCCGGACCCACAGUGGGAGCAGGUGUAAGACUGGAUUUUAGAAAAUGGCUUUGUUGUAAUAAAGUAGUCUGCAGUUGGAGAUUGUGGAGAUUCCUCCAUCAUCUACUGUAUGUAAAGGAAAGUGGAUUAUGUUUGGAAGCAUCAAGCUCACCGGCCGAUGUUUUGGAAAGCACUGAGGACCAUGCCAUGAGCCCGGUCCUGCCAAUACCUUGCUGGGUUAGUCACACAAUGUAUAUGUCUGUGAAGAAUGGAAUCCUUGGCCAUUGGUUUAUCCUUUGGAAACGUGCCCACCAGUUCCAUGACAACUUCUGAAACUCAUAGAAAGAUGUGCAUUAAAAUGAAAGAAGUGGAGGAGAAGCAGAGACAGCACAAGAAGGCAGAAGCAGCCUGAGAGGUAUGUGGGGAGGUAUGUGGGUGUGUGGACCUUGGUUAAUGACUCAUUGGAAUCUCAAGGCUGAGUUAGUGCAUAAAAAGCCCUGAUUUUUUCCGAGCACCAGGCUACAGUGGCCACCUUCCUGCUUUGUUCCCCUAGGGGAGAACAGAUGUUCUGUCUCCACUGGAACCAUAACAGAACUGUUGAAGUCCUAGGGCAUUAGCUAUGCACAUUGCUAACUAUAAACACUUCUGUUAUGCAAUGAUAUAACUCAAGGUAGAAAAUUAAAAUCGACCAUCUCAUGUUCCAAUUGCCUAUCCUUUCCUUUAUCCUCAAAUUUAGUCUUAUGGAGCUUCUGCUCCUUUUAUUUAUUUAUUUAUUUAUUUAUUUAUUUAUUUAUUUAUUUAUUUUUUGAGUUUCGAAGCCCUCAGUGUGGCCCUCAGGGGCACUGACCACACUGGCUUUGGAUAAGGAACUUCUAUUUAAAUAAUUGCUCAAGCCUGUGCAGGGGUAUCCAACAUUUUGGUGUCUCUGGGCCACACUGGAAGAAGAGCUGUCUUGGGAUACAUGUUAAAUACAUUGCGACACACAAUUACAAAAAAAUCUCAUAAUAUUUUAA